UUGUACUCUUAGAAACAGAUUUGGAAGCUACUCUAACCCAGGCGAGAGUGCGAUCGAGCCGUGGAUCGUCGUUAGUUGACUUGUGAGAGCUCGUGGAGACUUAUCUUGAGCAGGAUUGCAGCCGUGUCGAGCUGAUUAGUGGGAUUUCUUGUGACUUUGGAGCCUUGUACCAGAGCCUGUUACAGGAGAGGCUAGGGAUCGUGGCAAGGGA